CACGAUCGCUCUUCCGAUCUGUUCGUUGAGGGACUAGGAGUGGAGAAGAUAAGCAAGAGGCUGGUGAACUCGAGGGAAGGUCCUCCAGUGUUCGAGCAGCCGGAGAUGACUCUUGAGAAGCUUAUGGAGUAUGG